UAGUAGAGACACUCGGGUUCAGGUCCCC
rnacentral:sRNA from 1 species